ensembl:lncRNA
UAUCCAUGCAUUUUCUUUUCCUCUGGGACUCCAAUCCUUCAGUAUCUGGCUGUUUAGUAGCUCCCUGAUGCCUUAAAAUAAUUUUAAAAGUAUGUAGCUGCUGUUCUUAUUUUUGAUAUAAAUUUGGUUUGAUGAUGGCUAAUCUUUUGUAAUUGGAAGUAGAAAAAUCUCAAAGGUCAUGAUUUUCUCACUUCUUGUAUCUACUCAGUUACCAAAUUCUGUCUGUUCUAUUUAUCUUUAAGAUUUUCCUUUUUCUCUCCAAUAGUAGUGCUACACCCUAGUGUAGGUUCAAGUCCUGGUUUUCUAUUGCCUGAUUAUUACCAAGAGCCAGCUAAUAAACCUCUCUGCUUCAGUCUUUUUGAGCUCAUCUUGGCAACACUUCCAGUGUGAGCCAUAAUCCACCCCCCGCCCCCAAUGAUCUGUUUUGGAAUUAAGUCAUCAGUAAAAUAAAAAUGCAAGCUUUAUAGGGUGGGGAUGGACAUUCCGUAGAAAGAGACUGGUACAUAAUGACAAGUUGUAAGAUUUCUUUGACAAAAAAGAAUUUAAAAAACUGACUGAGAUGAUCACAGAAAGCAGGAAAGCUAUGGAGGCUUCUCAGGUCCACUGCAUAUUAGCUUGAGACCAUAAUAAAAGUAUGUCAAAUAUCCAAAUACAUAAUUUAUCUCAACUGCCCUAUGGAAACGUGCAACCAAUGUUAAUACUACCGGUGAAUGAAGAGUCAGGAUGGGGUGAAAACUCUUCUCUCUCUUUUUCAACUUUGUUCUGUAAUAUCAUGCACAUUGUAAAAUAUUUAAAGAAACAGAACUGUGCAUAAUAAAACUGACAGUGUUCCCUCCCAUUCUUUUCUGCAUGGUUACCAUUGACAACGAUGGAAUGUGUUUUCUUCCAGAUUCUCUGAAUGACUGGGUGUUUGUGAAUGUUCAUAUGUGAUUUUAUUUUUCACUUAAUGAUAUAUCUGUGAGCUAGCAUGAGGAAAGAAUACUUGUCCCAUGUUACAGGCAAGGAAAGGGAGUCUUGGUGAGAUAAAGGCACAUUAUCAUAUUACAUAGUGGUACCCAUAAUGUGAAAGGUGCCUUGAAGACAGUAAAUCUUUCUACUGCAUAUUCAGUUAUCAUCCCUUCUACUUCAGUUUUCACAAUUGCCUUAUUACAGACGUUUAAUGAUUUCCUUGCAUUCACAUUUUUGAAACUGAAUCCUGCAUCCCACCACGUGAAGGAACUCAAGCACUUUCCAUCAGCUAUUGGAAUUCCUGAUGCCACUUGCCUGCUUUUGGAAUUUUACUAGCGCCUGAAUUUGCCGAUGCUACAUUUCACUGUCUUGACAUUUGCUUAUGAGAGUACUCUUUUUAUGAUCUUGCCUGUCUUCAACAGUGCUGCUUUUGUUGUACUGAACUUUCUCCUUGUUCUUGAAGUUGGACCCCUGUCCUCACUGCUCAAUUUCUUCUAUCUGCCCCACUUCACAGGCUGAAUCCUGUUACAAAUCCCUUGCACCAUGCUUGAUCUCAGCCAAGUUCUGCCUGCUUAUCUUUGAGGUGAAAUUUAAUUUGUCAUGGUUUUAGCAGAACAUUGGAUCUGCCCUUCCCAUAAAAUGAGAUAAUGGUACAUUCCAUUGAUAGAAAAGUAGAAUUAAGUCUUUGGAAAAACAUGGAGCAGGUAAAGUG